AUUGAACGCUGGCGGCAGGCCUAACACAUGCAAGUCGAACGCGAAAGUCCUUCGGGAUGAGUAGAGUGGCGGACGGGUGAGUAAUGCGUAGGAAUCUGUCCAGUAGUGGGGGAUAACGUUCCGAAAGGAACGCUAAUACCGCAUACGCCCCACGGGGGAAAGGGGGGGAUCCUUCGGGACCUCCCGCUAUCGGAGGAGCCUGCGUCGGAUUAGCUAGUUGGUGAGGUAACGGCUCACCAAGGCAACGAUGUCUAGCUGGUCUGAGAGGAUGACCAGCCACACUGGAACUGAGACACGGUCCAGACCCCUACGGGAGGCAGCAGUAGGGAAUAUUCCGCAAUGGGCGCAAGCCUGACGGAGCAACGCCGCGUGAGUGAUGAAGGUUUUCGGAUCGUAAAGCUCUGUCGUAAGGGAAGAAAUAGCUGGAACUAAUAUUUCCAGAAGUUGACGGUACCUUAAAAGAAAGCACCGGCUAACUACGUGCCAGCCGCCGCAGUAAUAC
rnacentral:rRNA from 1 species